CCCUUAGAUGUUCUGGGCUGCACGCGCGCUACACUGAUGCAUGCAACGAGUUUUCGACCUUGCCUGAAAAGGUUGGGUAAUCUGUUUAACAUGUGUCGUGAUGGGGAUAGACCAUUGCAAUUAUUGAUCUUCAACGAGGAAUUCCUAGUAAGCGCGAGUCAUCAGCUCGUGCUGAUUAUGUCCCUGCCCUUUGUACACACCGCCCGUCGCUCCUACCGAUUGAGUGAUCCGGUGGAUGAUUCGGACCAGCGUGCUGCUCAGAUCCUGCGCAGUGUGCUGGGAAGUCUAGUGAACCUUAUCACUUAGAGGAAGGAGAAGUCGUAACA
rnacentral:rRNA from 1 species